GACAGAGGGUGCAAACGUUGUUCGGAAUUACUGGGCGUAAAGCGCGUGUAGGCUGCUCAGAAAGUCGGAUGUGAAAGCCCUGGGCUUAACCUAGGAAGUGCAUUCGAAACUUCUGAGCUUGAGUUCUGGAGAGGAAGGCGGAAUUCUCGGUGUAGAGGUGAAAUUCGUAGAUAUCGAGAGGAACACCGGUGGCGAAGGCGGCCUUCUGGACAGUGACUGACGCUGAGACGCGAAAGCGUGGGGAGCGAACGGG
rnacentral:rRNA from 1 species